rnacentral:rRNA from 1 species
UACGAAGGGGGCUAGCGUUGCUCGGAAUCACUGGACGUAAAGGGUGCGUAGGCGGGUCUUUAAGUCAGGGGUGAAAUCCUGGAGCUCAACUCCAGAACUGCCUUUGAUACUGGCGAUCUCGAGUCCGGGAGAGGUGAGUGGAACUGCGAGUGUAGAGGUGAAAUUCGUAGAUAUUCGCAAGAACACCAGUGGCGAAGGCGGCUCACUGGCCCGGUACUGACGCUGAGGUGCGAAAGCGUGGGGAGCAAACAGG